UUUUUAUGGAGAGUUUGAUCCUGGCUCAGGAUGAACGCUGGCGGCGUGCCUAAUACAUGCAAGUCGAGCGAACAGACGAGGAGCUUGCUC
rnacentral:rRNA from 1 species